rnacentral:rRNA from 1 species
GACUAAUGUUGAAAAAUUAGCGGAUGACUUGUGGCUGGGGGUGAAAGGCCAAUCAAACCGGGAGAUAGCUGGUUCUCCCCGAAAGCUAUUUAGGUAGCGCCUCGUGAAUUCAUCUUCGGGGGUAGAGCACUGUUUCGGCUAGGGGGCCAUCCCGGCUUACCAACCCGAUGCAAACUGCGAAUACCGAAGAAUGUUAUCACGGGAGACACACGGCGGGUGCUAACGUCCGUCGUGAAGAGGGAAACAACCCAGACCGCCAGCUAAGGUCCCAAAGUCAUGGUUAAGUGGGAAACGAUGUGGGAAGGCCCAGACAGCCAGGAUGUUGGCUUAGAAGCAGCCAUCAUUUAAAGAAAGCGUAAUAGCUCACUGGUCGAGUCGGCCUGCGCGGAAGAUGUAACGGGGCUAAAACCAUGCACCGAAGCUGCGGCAGCGACACUAUGUGUUGUUGGGUAGGGGAGCGUUCUGUAAGCCUGUGAAGGUGGCCUGUGAGGGCUGCUGGAGGUAUCAGAAGUGCGAAUGCUGACAUAAGUAACGAUAAUGCGGGUGAAAAACCCGCACGCCGGAAGACCAAGGGUUCCUGUCCAACGUUAAUCGGGGCAGGGUGAGUCGACCCCUAAGGCGAGGCUGAAAAGCGUAGUCGAUGGGAAACAGGUUAAUAUUCCUGUACUUGGUGUUACUGCGAAGGGGGGACGGAGAAGGCUAUGUCAUCCGGGCGACGGUUGUCCCGGUUUAAGCGUGCAGGUGGGUGGACCAGGUAAAUCCGGUCUGCUGUUAACACUGAGGCGUGAUGACGAGGCACUACGGUGCUGAAGUGACAGAUGCCCGGCUUCCAGGAAAAGCCUCUAAGCAUCAGGUAACAUUGAAUCGUACCCCAAACCGACACAGGUGGUCAGGUAGAGAAUACUCAGGCGCUUGAGAGAACUCGGGUGAAGGAACUAGGCAAAAUGGUGCCGUAACUUCGGGAGAAGGCACGCUCCUGUUGGUGAAGUCCCUUGCGGAUGGAGCUGAGGGGAGUCGCAGAUACCAGCUGGCUGCAACUGUUUAAUAAAAACACAGCACUGUGCAAACACGAAAGUGGACGUAUACGGUGUGACGCCUGCCCGGUGCCGGAAGGUUAAUUGAUGGGGUUAUCCGUAAGGAGAAGCUCUUGAUCGAAGCCCCGGUAAACGGCGGCCGUAACUAUAACGGUCCUAAGGUAGCGAAAUUCCUUGUCGGGUAAGUUCCGACCUGCACGAAUGGCGUAAUGAUGGCCAGGCUGUCUCCACCCGAGACUCAGUGAAAUUGAACUCGCUGUGAAGAUGCAGUGUACCCGCGGCAAGACGGAAAGACCCCGUGAACCUUUACUAUAGCUUGACACUGAACCUUGAGCCUUGAUGUGUAGGAUAGGUGGGAGGCUUUGAAGUGUGGACGCCAGUCUGCAUGGAGCCAACCUUGAAAUACCACCCUUUAAUGUUUGAUGUUCUAACCUGGGCCCGUAAUCCGGGCUGGGGACAGUGUCUGGUGGGUAGUUUGACUGGGGCGGUCUCCUCCCAAAGAGUAACGGAGGAGCACGAAGGUUAGCUAAUCCUGGUCGGACAUCAGGAGGUUAGUGCAAAGGCAUAAGCUAGCUUGACUGCGAGAGUGACGGCUCGAGCAGGUGCGAAAGCAGGUCUUAGUGAUCCGGUGGUUCUGAAUGGAAGGGCCAUCGCUCAACGGAUAAAAGGUACUCCGGGGAUAACAGGCUGAUACCGCCCAAGAGUUCAUAUCGACGGCGGUGUUUGGCACCUCGAUGUCGGCUCAUCACAUCCUGGGGCUGAAGUAGGUCCCAAGGGUAUGGCUGUUCGCCAUUUAAAGUGGUACGCGAGCUGGGUUUAGAACGUCGUGAGACAGUUCGGUCCCUAUCUGCCGUGGGCGUUGGAAGAUUGAGGGGGGUUGCUCCUAGUACGAGAGGACCGGAGUGAACGCACCGCUGGUGUUCGGGUUGUCAUGCCAAUGGCACUGCCCGGUAGCUACGUGCGGAAGAGAUAACCGCUGAAAGCAUCUAAGCGGGAAACUUGCCCCGAGAUGAGUCUUCCCUGGGAACUAGAUUCCCCUGAAGGGACGUUCGAGACGAGGACGUUGAUAGGCUGGGUGUGUAAGCGUAGUGAUACGUUGAGCUAACCAGUACUAAUGACCCGAGAGGCUUAACCUU